CCUACGGGAGGCAGCAGUAGGGAAUUUUCGUCAAUGGGCGCAAGCCUGAACGAGCAAUGCCGCGUGAACGAGGAAGGUCUUCGGAUCGUAAAGUUCUGUUGAAGGGGAAAAAGAGCGGAGAGAGGAAAUGCUUUCUGAUUGAUAUUACCCUUCGAGGAAGUCACGGCUAACUACGUGCCAGCAGCCGCGGUAAUACGUAGGUGGCGAGCGUUAGCCGGAAUGAUGGGGCGAAAGGGGUGCGUAGGCGGCCUGCUAGGUCUGGAGUGAAAGGUACCGGCUCAACCGGUACAGGCUCUGGAAACUGGCGGGCUAGAGAGCAGGAGAGGGCGGUGGAACUCCAUGUGUAGCGGUAAAAUGCGUAGAUAUAUGGAAGAACACCAGUGGCGAAGGCGGCCGCCUGGCCUGUUACUGACGCUGAGGCACGAAAGCGUGGGGAGCAAAUAGGAUUAGAUACCCGAGUAGUC
rnacentral:rRNA from 1 species